AAUGAACCCUUCGGGGAGAAUUAGAGCGGAUUAGUGGCGAACGGGUGAGUAACGCGUGAGUAACCUGCCUUACACAAGGGGAUAGCCUUUGGAAACGAAGAAUAAUACCCUAUAAAACCAUAAAAGCACAUGCAAUUAUGGUCAAAGUGAUAGCGGUGUAAGAUGGACUUGCGUCUGAUUAGCUAGUUGGUGAGAUAAAAGCCCACCAAGGCAACGAUCAGUAGCCGGCUUGAGAGAGUGUACGGCCACAUUGGGACUGAGACACGGCCCAGACUCCUACGGGAGGCAGCAGUGGGGAAUUUUGCACAAUGGGGGAAACCCUGAUGCAGCGACGCCGCGUGAUUUAGAAGGCCUUCGGGUUGUAGAAAUCUUUUGUAUAGGAAGAAAAUGACAGUACUAUACGAAUAAGGUCCGGCUAAUUACGUGCCAGCAGCCGCGGUGAUACGUAAGGACCGAGCGUUGUCCGGAAUCAUCGGGCGUAAAGGGUACGUAGGCGGCUAGAAAAGUUAGAAGUCAAAGGCUAUAGCUCAACUAUAGUAAGCUUCUAAAACUAUUUAGCUUGGGAGAUGGAAGGGAAAGUGGAAUUCCUAGUGUAGCGGUGGAAUGCGCAGAUAU
rnacentral:rRNA from 1 species